GAUUUAGUGGUCUAGUGGUAAGACAAUAGCCUUCAAAGCUAAAAGUCAUGAGUUCAAACCCCCAUCUUGUCU